rnacentral:misc_RNA from 1 species
AACUUACGUAUCAGGUCAGCGUGCCACUUGGGUUCGAUGAUCGGCCUAUCCCCGCGAACAACAAGCUGCAUGGCAAAACGCGGCUCUCUCAGGCCCCUCACCUCUGCGAAGCAGUCCGUCCCUGGGCCUUCGCAAGAACCUGCUUCGCUUCCGGGGACUUGAGCGCGGUGGUGACAGAAUUGCGCCUGAGUACCUGGACUGCUUGCUCCCAUAUCGUCCUCUCUUUAUCGGUCAUCCCCCACGCCUCCUGCUUCUUAAGAUCUUGUGCGCGUCUUACAAACAGGAUUCUCAACGUUGGGC